GUGGUUAUACUGUUCAUUUGCUUGUGUGUAUAGCUCGUAGAUGGGAGGAUCGCCUCAUUAAGUAUUUGUCAUAAUACUUACGCAUCUCUUUCUUUUAUGUGCAGGUAAAGAUAAAGUGUGAUCGUGAAGUCAUGGCAAUAAAGAGAGGAUGAUAUAGGAACUCGUUUGGUUUAUUGUU
rnacentral:sRNA from 1 species